ACGGGUGAGUAACACGUAGGCAACCUGCCCCUUAGACUGGGAUAACUACCGGAAACGGUAGCUAAUACCGGAUAAUUUCUUUUUUCUCCUGAAGAAAGAAUGAAAGACGGAGCAAUCUGUCACUGAGGGAUGGGCCUGCGGCGCAUUAGCUAGUUGGUGGGGUAACGGCCCACCAAGGCGACGAUGCGUAGCCGACCUGAGAGGGUGAACGGCCACACUGGGACUGAGACACGGCCCAGACUCCUACGGGAGGCAGCAGUAGGGAAUCUUCCGCAAUGGACGAAAGUCUGACGGAGCAACGCCGCGUGAGUGAUGAAGGUUUUCGGAUCGUAAAGCUCUGUUGCCAGGGAAGAACGUCCGGUAGAGUAACUGCUACCGGAGUGACGGUACCUGAGAAGAAAGCCCCGGCUAACUACGUGCC
rnacentral:rRNA from 1 species